CCUCACUGAAGUGAAUAUGAAUAAUAAUACAAGUAAUUAUUAUCGUAUUGGAUUUUGGAAAGUUGGAUGGUGAUAUUCCUUUGGCAUGCGAGACUAUUAAUAUGACUCGUGCUGGAAAAAGUCACUCAUGUUUUCUCUGGGCUUGGAUUCCUCAUUCCUUCAUUCAAUGAACAUUUGCUCCGCAGUUACUUGUGCGAGGCACUCUCACCGGAGACUGAAGGUAUAGAGCAAGCUUGUCCAACCCGUGGCUCACUAACCGCGUGCGGCCCAGGACAGCUUUGAAUGCCGCCCAACACAAAUUUGUAAAUGUUCUUAAAACAUUAUGAGAGGUUUUUUUUUUGCGCUUUUUUUUUUUUUCUCAUCAGCUAUCAUUAGAGUUAGUGUAUUUUAUGUGUGGCCCAAGACAGUUCUCCCAGUGUGGCUCAGGGAAGCCAAAAGAUCGGACGCAUGGUAUAGAGAAAAACAAGAAGCAUCCCUCCAUAGCGUAUGCCCCACAAGAGACAAUUUCCCAGAGACCAGUAGCUGAGGCAGGUGUAGGAAGUGAAUGGGCCAUUAGAUGGAUGCCUGUGGAAGCUAAAGAAGGCGGAUCGGAGGAAGACAAUCCGACCUGGGGAGUGGAGGAGAGAGGGGGAGAAGGUGGCAUCGACUUGGAUUUUUUAAGAUUGAGUCAUUUGGGGCACUUGGAAAUGGGCAUUCUGGGUAGAAGGUUCAGUAUUAACAAAAACAAAACAAUACUCUUGAGUGGGAAGAAUAAUGGAUAGUUUGAUUUGCCUAGAAUGUAGAGAUUAAUAAGGAUGCCAGGAUUCUAGGGCGGGGGACCAAGAUGGGGAGUCAGUGGUGGGAAGCCCUGGAAGAUUCCAAGCAAGGCAUGACAGUGCUGUGGCAGCGGAUAGUUAAUUUGGCCAAGGAGUGGAACCCUCCUUUGUAGCGUGAGAGUGUUGGACCAAGGAUCUUUGCAGCACUGAGAGUCUAUGAAUUAGCCAAUCUGGGAAUACAGGGCUUCAUGGAAACAUCACAGUGUAGGAGGAUUAUGGAUGGAAAGUGCAGCUGGAAUGGGAAAAGGUCGAAACCUAAUUAGAAGCCUUGGGCCAGGGGUAGCCUGUGAUCACCUGCGAUUGUGUUUCAGACUUCCAGUAACAUUCUUGGGAGUAGUUGUUAAAAAAGUGCUCUUCGUGUUUCUGUAACUUGGGUGGCCUCUUAGGCAUGAGCAGACGUUCAGCCUGUCCCUAUCGGCAGGGAACAUUUAUUUAUUUUGAUGCAUCCCCAGGGACCAACAGAGAGCUAUAAAGACAGCAGCCUGUUUUGCCAGUUGGCCAGUUGAAAUGGGAAAUUUCUUAUACAAAGAUUACAGACUUAACCUUCAUGCCACUCUUUAUUAUAAACUGUUCAUACAGUUCUUUGCAGAUGGACUCAAAAUGAAGCAUUUUUUUACCUUAAAGAUUGUAGUAGAGGAUGUUAUAAAUGUGUCUUUAAUUGGUUCUGUGUUUUCUCAUACUUAUGAAGCACUGCAUUACACAAUUUGUCUGAAUGAAAUUGGUAGAUGUGGUCCAUGUAAAACUUACCCAAUCAGACAGGUUACAGAUAUUUGCCUAAAAUCUGAGCCUGGGCACCUUAGAGAUAUUCUAACCUCACCCGGAAACUCCGCAACUGGAAAGGUGCAGGGAUUCUGGAGCGAGGUUCCACUUCACAUUAUCUUCUGGUUCUGCAUAUGAAUAUUUAAAAACUUCCUGUGGUGUUAUAUGAAAUAUGUAUUUGCAUGCUUUUGCAGCUGCUCCAUCUAAUAGUAUUUGAGAAGGGGAAAAAAUGAAAUGUUGCUUAGUAGAAAUUCCUUUGGUUAAUGAUGUUAAUCAAUGGUAUAAAAAAGGAGCAUGAACUCUGGAAUAAGAAGGGACACCUGAAAUUGAAUUCCAGUUGUGUCGCUUACUACCUGUGCGACUUUAGGUCUGGCACUUAACUCAUCUGAGUCUCAGUUUCCUCAUCUGUAAAAUGGUCACCACAAUAAUCAGCUCGCAGUCUAACAGAACAACCUGUCACCACUAGAAUCCCACUUGUUGGCCUUUUAUAGCCACACCUACUUCCCUCCCACUGCCUCCUCCACUUCCUUAACUCAUAGCAACCACUGUGUGUUCACUAUCUUUUUAAAUAAUUGUAUCAUUUCAAGAAUGUUAUAAAAAUGGAAUGAUAUAGUGUGUGA